rnacentral:lncRNA from 1 species
AGUAUGCUUGCUCUCAUUGCGGAGUCUGGUCCCCUCCCCUCCGCUCCUAGCGCGCGGGAGUCGGGAUUGUGCUUGCACGACUUCCCCCGGCCCGCGGCCUGUGAGCCCAGGUCCUGGGGUGAACCGAGCGCUCGCUCGUUCGUCAGACCGUAGCGCUCCAGCGGCUGUCCUUACUGUGUAGUAGCCAAAGCUGAGGGUGAUGACUGUGAACCAGAACAGACUGCCUCGCUGAAAAGUCACUUGGAACUCUUCUGUGGCAUCUGAAGCAGAUGGACGAAGCCAAGAGGGCCGAGAGUAUCUCAGCACCUAGAAAUGGACAAGGCUGGUUAUUAGAACAAAGAUUUCGCAGGUGGUGAGUCUCAAAGGCGAAGCUGAAUGAGGCAAGAAUCUGCAUCAAAGAGCCCUGGAAGCAAUCAUGGCUCAACUGUGAUGCCUUUAGAACAUGAAGUCCUCCAAGAAGAUGCCAUAGGAAUGGCCUCCAUCCCAGGGCCUGGAGAGCAGCCAGAGACAAGAAGAGUAGCCCAGGAGGGCACUGGCAGUCAGUGCUACACUGUGGCCUGUCAGUCUCAGAGCCAGGAUUUAAUCACUGGAUCUCCCAUUAACCAGUCAUAAUGAAGUAAGAACAAGAAGAUGGGGAAGAGGAAGUGUAAAACCGUGGCUUAAAUUUGCCAAGGAUAAGCUGAGUGUACUUCAGCAGUCAUUUGCACAGAAUCCUUAUCCUAAUUUUACAACCAGGGAAAAACUGGCUGGACAGUCUCUUGUCCUGUGUUUGUAAUUGAUAACUGGUUUCAAAAUAAAAGCCAGACCACCACUUAGAGAGAGACACAGAAUGUUCACUGCCAGGGAACUGCAUGAUUCCUCUGCCAAAGGCCACCCAUUUACAAGAAUCCAGGAAAACCAGGUGGAAUCUCCCAAUGAUGACCCUGAGCAGAACUUCUUGUACCCAGGAAGUUCUACUGGGUGGAGCUGGCCACUCUUCCGUGGAGACACAGGGGACUCCCAAUUAACAUGAUGGCUCAAAUAACUGUAGCCUUAUGGAUUAAAAGGAAACUAAGCUGUGAUUUGGAGUAUCCAGGUGAUACAGAAAAUGGCCCUUGUCGAUGUAGAUCAGCAUUAUUUCCUUAUCCUUCUGCAUCUCCUCCUCAGUAUUCUGAAAGGGACAAGCCUGAGAUGGGGGAAAGCCAGCAUGCAAGGCCCUCCCCUUUGUGCUGUGUUCAUGGUGUGCACGGAGAGAGGCAGCAGCAGGAGGAACAGAAAGGUUAUUUUCUUUACUGACUCUUUCAAGGACAUCAGCAGAAUGGUUGGGAAUGUCAUCAUGAGCAGCCUCAGCCUCAGAAUUACCAGGAGAAGCUGGUCUUCCAGGAUCAGGUUCUAAUGUAUAUGAGUCACAGGAUUUAGGGAAGCAGGCACUUUCCCUUCAGUCCCAGCAGCAUGGUUGAUGUUCCCAAGUAAUGGAGAGUCCCUGUGCUCUCAGUUGUGGCACACACCUUUGCAAAUAGUGAUCAGAUCUCCACAAACGCCUCUUGGGUAAGAUAUGCAGCAACAUAGCUGGCUGCAGAGCAACCCAGUUCCCAAAUCCAGCAGCUCUUGGAUGAGAAGUCUGCAAGUGUUUACUGCUGGGACCAGGACUGUGUUUCUAGGAAAUGGUGCUAGGCUUCAGAGAGCAUCAUCCACAGGUCAUCCCACAACCAUCCACACAGAAGCCUGAGGAAAAGGGCUCUGCAGAGCUUGCACAUAAAGAUGCUGAACUCAGGAAGGCUCUGUGAGCUGCUGGUCUCUUCUGGUAGGGCAGCAGUGUCCUGAGAAGGUGGAGCUAGAGUAUGGAGAACAAAACUAACAAGCACCAAGGCAGCAAGCAAGGCAACCCCCAAAUGACAGCAGUUGCCAAAUCCAAAGCAAUCUGUGCUUCAGAAGACAGAGGCUCUGCACAGUCCCUGUCUCAGACAUUGUCUCCUCCUUAGAAGAUACCUAACAACAGCACUGUGGGAGGCUGAGGUGGGUGGAUCACCAGGUCAGGAGAUCAAGACCAUCCUUGAUCUUUAGUAGAGACGGUGAAACACUGUCUCUACUAAAAAAUACAAAAAAAAAUUAGCUAGCCGUGGCGGCGGGCACCUGUAGUCUCAACUAUUUGGGAGGCUGAGGCAGGAGAAUGGCCUGAACCCGGGAGGCAGAGCUUGCAGUGAGCUGAGAUUGCGCCACUGCACUCCAGCCUGGGCAACAGAGUGAGACUCCAUCUCAAAAAAAAAAAAAAAAAAAAAAAAAAAAGAUACCUAACAAGCAGUACAAGAAUAUGAAGGACCCCACUGCCCAGACUUUGUAUGGAGGGGUGUCUAAGGUGGCUACAGCAAAGCUGUCAUCUCCAUCGACCGGGACAGCAUCUCCAGCCAUGAUGUGUGGCCUGCUGGAACAGCAGCCAUGUGUCCUUUCACAGACAGCCCACCAAAGCUCUGACUGUGAAGGACAUCCCAACAUCAGCCUAGCCUGCAUACACUUAAGGCAUAGAAUCACCUGAGGCUUCUCCGUUGAAGACAGGGACUCCCGAUGGAGUUGCAGCCCCAGCUUUGCACUGUAAAGAGCCCCAGGGGGCUUCUGUGCUAGAGCAGGUGUGCAGACCCCUCCUCACCCCCUUCACUGAGAGCUGCUGCCUGGAACCAGUGUUUUGACUGAGUCACCUCUGGACGUGGGCCCACAAGAUCUGAGAGUGCCCAGACGAGAAGUUGAAUGCCUUGUGUUGACCUGAGUGUUUGGAAAAAAGCCCCAAACUUUGAAACAAUUUUCAUAAUUUUGAGCUUCAGGAUGUGGAAUCACUUCUCAAGUAUUCUGGAGUUCUGUCCAUCAGAGCGGGUCCUGCCAAUGCUGCCCUGUGCAGCGCUUCAGGCUGCAUCCCUCCCACUAGGGGGCGCCUUUCACAUAGUGGCGCCUGCCUUCUAGAGGAGCAACAUUUCCUGAACUGCAGGGUUCCCUCGGGGCUUUGUGUAAAACACAUCCACUGCAUAGAAUUUGUGUUAUUUCCAUUUUGUUUUCUUGACAAUAUUUAAUUAAUUACAAAAUGAUGUAUGUUAUGAUAGUUUAAGCAAUACAGAGAGUAACCA